rnacentral:rRNA from 2 species
CGGUAAUACGUAGGUGGCAGCGUGUCCGGAUUUAUUGGGCGUAAAGCGAGCGCAGGCGGUUUUUUAAGUCUGAUGUGAAAGCUUUCGGCUCAACCGAAGAAGUGCAUCGGAAACUGGGAAACUUGAGUGCAGAAGAGGACAGUGGAACUCCAUGUGUAGCGGUGAAAUGCGUAGAUAUAUGGAAGAACACCAGUGGCGAAGGCGGCUGUCUGGUCUGUAACUGACGCUGAGGCUCGAAAGUAUGGGUAGCAAACAGGAUUAGAUACCCUGGUAGUCCAUACCGUAAACGAUGAAUGCUAAGUGUUGGAGGGUUUCCGCCCUUCAGUGCUGCAGCUAACGCAUUAAGCAUUCCGCCUGGGGAGUACGGCCGCAAGGCUGAAACUCAAAGGAAUUGACGGGGGCCCGCACAAGCGGUGGAGCAUGUGGUUUAAUUCGAAGCUACGCGAAGAACCUUACCAGGUCUUGACAUACUAUGCAAAUCUAAGAGAUUAGACGUUCCCUUCGGGGACAUGGAUACAGGUGGUGCAUGGUUGUCGUCAGCUCGUGUCGUGAGAUGUUGGGUUAAGUCCCGCAACGAGCGCAACCCUUAUUAUCAGUUGCCAGCAUUAAGUUGGGCACUCUGGUGAGACUGCCGGUGACAAACCGGAGGAAGGUGGGGAUGACGUCAAAUCAUCAUGCCCCUUAUGACCUGGGCUACACACGUGCUACAAUGGAUGGUACAACGAGUUGCGAACUCGCGAGAGUAAGCUAAUCUCUUAAAGCCAUUCUCAGUUCGGAUUGUAGGCUGCAACUCGCCUACAUGAAGUCGGAAUCGCUAGUAAUCGCGGAUCAGCAUGCCGCGGUGAAUACGUUCCCGGGCCUUGUACACACCGCCCGUCACACCAUGAGAGUUUGUAACACCCAAAGUCGGUGGGGUAACC